rnacentral:snRNA from 1 species
GGAUGUGAGGGCUAUCUGGCUGCAACAUCUGUCACCCCAUUGAUUGCCAGGGUUGAUUCAGCUGAUCUGGCUGGUUAUGUGGGUAUCCCCUUUCUCCCUCACUGCUCCAUGUGCGUCCCUCCAAAGCUGCCUCUAAGUCAAAGAGGACAGACCUUCCCUGAAUAGAGACCAUCUGGUCUUCGGUCGAGGGUAUACAAGUG